rnacentral:rRNA from 1 species
AACGAACGCUGGCGGCAGGCUUAACACAUGCAAGUCGAGCGCCCCGAAAGGGGAGCGGCAGACGGGUGAGUAACGCGUGGGAAUGUGCCCUUUGGUCUGGAAUAACUCAGGGAAACUUGAGCUAAUACCGGAUAAGCCCUUCGGGGGAAAGAUUUAUUGCCAUUGGAGCAGCCCGCGUCAGAUUAGCUGGUUGGUGAGGUAAAAGCUCACCAAGGCGAUGAUCUGUAGCCGGUCUGAGAGGACGACCAGCCACACUGGGACUGAGACACGGCCCAGACUCCUACGGGAGGCAGCAGUGGGGAAUAUUGGACAAUGGGGGCAACCCUGAUCCAGCCAUGCCGCGUGAGUGAUGAAGGCCUUAGGGUUGUAAAGCUCUUUUACUCGGGAAGAUAAUGACUUUACCGAGAGAAUAAGCCCCGGCUAAAUUCGUGCCAGCCGCCGCAGUAA